AUGGGAACGCGAAGAACCUUACCCACCUUUGACAUGUACGGAAGUUACCAGAGAUGGUUUCGUGCUCGAAAGAGAACCGUAACACAGGUGCUGCAUGGCUGUCGUCAGCUCGUGUCGUGAGAUGUUGGGUUAAGUCCCGCAACGAGCGCAACCCUUGCCAUUAGUUGCUACAUUCAGUUGAGCACUCUAAUGGGACUGCCGGUGACAAACCGGAGGAAGGUGGGGAUGACGUCAAGUCCUCAUGGCCCUUAUAGGUGGGGCUACACACGUCAUACAAUGGCUGGUACAAAGGGUUGCCAACCCGCGAGGGGGAGCUAAUCCCAUAAAGCCAGUCGUAGUCCGGAUCGCAGUCUGCAACUCGACUGCGUGAAGUCGGAAUCGCUAGUAAUCGUGGAUCAGAAUGUCACGGUGAAUACGUUCCCGGGUCUUGUACACACCG
rnacentral:rRNA from 1 species